GAUGAACGCUGGCGGCGUGCUUAACACAUGCAAGUCGAACGGAAAGGCUCCUGCUUGCAGGGGUACUCGAGUGGCGAACGGGUGAGUAACACGUGGGUGAUCUGCCCUGCACUUCGGGAUAAGCCGGGGAAACUGGGUCUAAUACCGGAUAGGACCACAUUUUGGAGGGUGUGGUGGAAAGUUUUUCGGUGUGGGAUGAGCUCGCGGCCUAUCAGCUUGUUGGUGGGGUAAUGGCCUACCAAGGCGUCGACGGGUAGCCGGCCUGAGAGGGUGUACGGCCACAUUGGGACUGAGAUACGGCCCAGACUCCUACGGGAGGCAGCAGUGGGGAAUAUUGCACAAUGGGCGCAAGCCUGAUGCAGCGACGCCGCGUGGGGGAUGACGGCCUUCGGGUUGUAAACUCCUUUCGCUAGGGACGAAGCGCAAGUGACGGUACCUGGAGAAGAAGCACCGGCUAACUACGUG
rnacentral:rRNA from 1 species